AGUUUCUAGGCUGCCCUCUUUUGGAAGCUGUAGCUCCGCUGGGGAGGAGGGAGGAGUGAGAAGGAAAGAAAGGAACAAAAAUAGCCGGAGCCGAGGGGAACAAGCCACGGUGUCCGCGUUUGGAGCUGGGCGUGCGGGUCUCAGUGGCGGCCUCGGCAUUCGGGGCGGCGGGAGGCGCCCGGUGCAUCCCCGGGACGGCCAGGAGCAAAGACGGAGAGGAGAGGGGGGUUAGAGAAAGGAGGACAGGCCAACCUUGAGCCCGGCCGUCACCCCUGUCGCGCUUUUGUUGGCGCAGGCUCGGCCCCCUACACCGGGCUGGUGCAGCUCCCGCGAUCAGACGGUCUCUCUCAAUUCGGCGUUGAACCCGGUUCUUCCCAAAUUCUGGUAUUGCUGGCCGCUUGGACACGUUCUCCCCUUAUCCCUCCCCCAGCGGGGAAAGAAAAAGCCAGGAUCCUUUCCUUGGCGCGGCCACCCGAGCCACUCCACCCGUCGCGCCAACCGCCUUUCCAGGUGGGGACCAAAGCCCCCACUCUCCGCUGGCAUCUCAUUGAAGGGCACCCCCCCGAGGGAUUGCCAGCUUCUGCUGCCAGCUGAGAGGCCGUGUGGCUGGGCGUCUUAAGCGCCGGUUUCCGCAGGUCCCGUGUCUGGCGGGCGCGGCUAAAACCCGGAGAGGCUGUGCCCGGGAAAGCCACGUUCGCCGUCCCCUCGCUGCGACAGGCCCAGCCGCGAUACAGCGCCAAGUCUAGGUCGGGCCAACCCAGCCAGGAGCUGCCCGGACCUGCCUGAAAGACCAGGGACGCGGCGCCAGCGCCCCACACCCCACCGAGACCAGGGCGCAAGGCGGGCAGAAUUCGGACUGAUGCGCCAGGCCCAGCCCCGAUGGAUUCCAGCUCCUCUCGGCCCCGCCUCCGGCCCUGGCCUCUUCCUCCAGCCGGGGUCGGGUCCUCCACUCCACUGUUUGGCUGGGAAAGGACCGAGACGCGCUCAGUGCACAGGGGGCCGGCUGCGGCCAUAAAUCUCCGGGCGGGCCCUCCUUCCCGCUGCUCACGCCGGGGUGCUCCGGGCCGGUCUCGUGUCCCGGGCCACGCCGCGCACCCUGCUCACCCCAUCACGGCCUGGGGACCCGGAGACUGCGCAGGGAACCACGCCAGGAGCUUCUCCGUUCACCAAAGAGAGGGAACGGCCUCGUUCCUCGGUGUCAACACCAUCCAUCUCUGAGGGCGCUGGACCCUGAGGUGGCCCGAGCUUCACAGGAUCACCGCCUUGGGGUAGGGGCGCCCGGGCCUGGCAUUUCCUCCUAGGAAGGCUCGGUGAGACUGGGAUGGGCAUGCGGCUCUCCGCUCGAGCCCAACUCCGGUGCCACCUGCACCACGGAGGGGUGACCCCAGGGUCAGGGUCAGAGCGGCUUCUCAGAAUUCAGCUUGCCACCUCUCCGCGGACCCUGCCUUCAUCUCGUGCCUCCUCAGAGCCCUCUGCGGGCGCAUGAAGGGCCUUUUUUUUUUUUUUUUUUUUUUUUUUUGGCACAGGUGGACCAACGGGGGGUGUGACUGUGGGCACCGUGCGCGGAGGCGGAGGCUCAUCUGGUUCCCACCCUCCGUGCCGCUGGAUGCCCCAGGAUUUUCUCCAACCGGGGUCCCGGCUUGGAGCCCUCCUUGGUGCGAGCUUUGGCUCAGCAAUGGGGAAAGCGGGAAUGGGUCUCGCCCUUGUGGCUGCCUGGUGGAAGCGGCGGUUUUGACACACGAAUAGUCGUGGGGAGCAGAUCCAGAGAGGGCGCAUUUGCAAUAAUAACGCUUAGUUUAUCUCUGCCAGAGGGGCGGGAACAGGCCUUCGCGCUGGUGUCUUACAUCAGCCAAGCAAACCAUGGGCGCGAUUGGAGCCAACCACCUCCAGCGGGGUUUUGCUCCAGACUUAAGGUGCACGGAAACCGGAGCAUUCAGCCCUUCAUGGAUGCCUCCCGAAAACCUCACCAUGCCAGUGACACGACUGCAAACGGCGGGUGGCACAUGCCGGGGGCUUGGGAUGGGAGGGUUUGGAAACCUCGCUCCAAGGACGCCCUCAGCCAAGGAGCUUCGGCUCCUUCCUAGAAUUUCUAGAAGCACUUUUGGAGGGACCGAGGGCUUCCGGCCGGGCCCAGAGGAAUUUGAGCGCUUGCCCGGGCAGGCAGAAGCGCAGCCUGGGAGUGGAGAGGCUGCUGGGCCACAUUCCGGCCCAGCUUCCCCCGCUAGGCCCCAGCCCUGCCGCGGCGCCCCAGGAAGCACCUCCGAAAACAAAGCGCUGUGGUUUCAGCCCAAGGUUAAAGUCCACCGCGAGCGUGUUUUUUCCCCCCUCCAGAAUCUAAGAGCGAUAGCGUUUCUCCAAAUAAACCGCCAAUAAAUCAGCUCCCGGGGGCGCCUGCUGAAGAGCUCUGGUGACCUUGGGGGAUGGUUUUUCUGCCUGACCCGUCUGAGCACAGGCUUUGGGGAGGAGGGGGCAGUGUCAGCCCUACCCCUCCAGAGAGACGCGGAAGAGGGAAUGGCCAAGGGCAUUCGUGGGUGAUUACAGCAGUACGUGUGUACCCAGAGGAGAUGGGAGAGGCUUGGAAUGGGGGAAAGGGGCGACUGUGGUUAUCCGGGGGCCUGUAGUGCGCGGUCAGGAGGCGUUUGUGAUUGCGAGGAGGGCUGCUUGCUGUCGGUUCAACGAUUGCUGGAGCGCCGGCGGUGUCGGCACAGGUCUAGGCAUGGGGAAAGCACCACUGGGGACAGACACGGCCGCUUUGGGGCCCCGAGUCUUUGUCUGCCUGGGACUGGAUGUGUUUGUGUCGGUGUGACUAAUGGGAUUUAUGGAUGUCAGUGCCAGGGUGACUGAUGAAGGGCUUGGCAGCACGUGUGUUUGGGGAGAGGCGCUGCACCUAGGUGGGGAGUGGGUGCCCCGGGAGAGGACUGUCCCUUCUCUUAGAGGUUCCUUCCCCCACCCCCUCCCUGCCGGCUCCCAGCUUUGUUUAGGCCUCUGAACCCCUCCGGGGCAGGCCUGUGCACGCCGAGUUCUGCAGCAAAUUCCACGGCCAGCCUGUCCCUCAGAGGCACCUCAGCACGCCCCACCUCUCCCAGCCCCACCUCCCCAGCACACGCCACGCGUCCCAAAUCCAGGCUGUCCCACCCCCUUCCCAGGCAGAGCCUUCCCAGUUUGCUCUUUUCCCAUCUGAACUCCUUAUGGUGUGCUCUGAGCCCUGCUUCAGGCAGGCUUUGACGACCGUAUGGUUUGGGUACCGGCAUACCCAUUUAACAGAUGAAAAAGUUGAGGUGCAGAAAGGAGAUGUGACAAGCCCACGCAGCCAGGAAGUAGCAGGCACCCUGAACUAAACCAGGCAGCUUGCUGGGGACCCCACUGUGGAGGCCCUUUGCCUCUGGGAGCCCCCAGCCUGGCUGAGACUCGCUUAGAGAAGGUAGAGGCAAAGGCCACUCCCAUGACACAGGACACAACCUGCCACCCUUGUACUGUGCGUUAUAACCAUCAGUCCUCCCUGCCACUCGGUAAGGGCUGUCUCCUUCCCUGACCUGGCAUGAGGAAGGAGGGGGGCAGUGAAGGUCAGAGGACUAGUAGGAGAGCCUGGUUUGGCCUGGGGCAGGGUGGGGUGCUGAGGUCAAGGUAACCCAGGGGUCACUUUGGAGAUCAGGAGAGCCGUGGCUGGAAAGCAGGAGCUCCUGUGUGAUUCCACAGAACCUAGCGCAGACUCAGGUUCAGGACAAACCUGGAGAAUCCAUAUCCCCUCUCCCUUGGGAUCAUCUUUUUUUUUUUUUUUUUUUGGAGAGACGGGGGUCUCACUAUGUUACCCAGGCUGGUCUUGAACUCCUGGCCUCAAGCAAUCCUCCCACCUCAGCCUCCCAAAGUGCUGGGAUUACAGGCCCAAACCACCAAGCUUGGCCUCCCUUGGGGUCUCUUCUUUUUUUCUUUUUGAGACAGGGACUCGUUCUGUCGCCCAGGCUGGAGCACAGCGGCACACCCGCAGCUCGCUGCAGCCUCAGCCUCUCGGGCUCAAAAAAUCCUUCUGCCUCAGCCUCCCAAGUAGCUGGGACUGCAGAUGCAUGCCACCACGCCAGGCUAGCUUUUUUUUUUUUUUUUUAAUGUUUUAUAGAGAUUGGUGGGGGGAGGGCGGGUCUCGUGAUGUGCAGGCUGGUCUUGAACUUCUGGCUUCAAGCAGUCCUCCCUCCUCGGCCUCUCAAAGUGCUGGGAGCCACUCACAGGUGUGAGCCACCACGCCCAGCAGAGCUUCGUUUCCCAAUCUAGAAGUCUGUCAUACAAAAAGGCAUCCCGGUUUUCUCUCUCUCUCUCUCUCUCACACACAGACACACACACACACACACACACAGAGUCACCUCCCCCCACCUUUUUUUCCUUUUUAUCCUUCUUUGGCAUUUUCUUUCAAGCAGAAAAUAAAAACAUUUCCCAUGGCUACAGCUUUGAAAGCUUCCCUCUCCUAUCAGCCUCCAUCCCACGCCCACCCCAAUGUCAAUCCAUUUCUAGAGCCAGCGUCAAGUCAAAAACAAACCCACAAAGAUCAAGCCUGACAGGCCCCCUCCCGGCUGCCCUCCACUCUCUCUUCAUGUAUUGGUCUGCCUUCACCCCAGAGAGGAGCACGAGGUAGGAAUCCUAUCAUACACACACACACACACACACACAGAGGCACACACACAUACAGGCACACACACAGAUGCACACACACAUACAGGCACACACACAUACAGGCACACACACACAGGCACACACACAGGCACUCACACACACACAGGCACUCACACACCAGCUUCUAUGGCCAUGGAGACUCUCUAAAGAACCUUCUAAGCCAGGCGCAGUGGCUCACACCUGUAAUCCCAGCAUUUUGGGAGGCCGAGGCGGGCGGAUCACCUGAGGUCGGGAGUUUGAGACCAGCCUGGCCAACAUGAUGAAACCCACGUCUCUACUAAAAAUACAAGAAUUAGCUGGGCUUGGUGGCGGGUGCCUGUAGUCCCAGCUACUCAGGAGGCUGAGGCAGGAGAAUUGCUUGAACUCGAGAGGCGGAGGCUGCAGUGAGGCAAGAUCAUGCCAUUGCACUACAGCCUGGGCAACAGAGCGAGACUCCAUUCCAAAAAAACAAAACAAGAAUCUUCUAGAGCUGCUCCUGCCAGAAAGACCUGUUCACUUGGUUCCAUCUGCUGGAGGGGUCCGGUUGUCCCCCACCUGCCCCUGCCCCUGCCUUCCUCACCUGGCCCCAUUCCCGCAGAUCCUCCUCUGUUGUAGAUUGAAGAAAGUCCCCCCCAAAUUCAUGUAUUUGAUUCCUAACCCCCAAUACCUUAAAAUGUGACCUUAUUUGGAGUGACGGUCAUUGCAGAUGUAAUUAAGAUCAGGUCACACUGGAGUCCGGUGGGCCCUAAUUCCUUAUGAUGUCCUUAUAAAAAGAGGACAUUUGGGCUGGGUGCAGUGGCCCAUGCCUGUAAUCCCGGCAUUUUGGGAGGCUGAGGCAGGAGGAUUGCUUAAGCCCAGGAGUUCGAGACCAGCCUGGGUAAGACCCUGCCUCUACAGAUUUUUUUUUUCAAUUAGCCAGGCAUGGUGGCACAUGCCUGUAGUCCCAGCGACUUAGGAGGCUGAGGUGGGAAGAUGGCUUGAGCCCAGGAGGUCGAGGCUGCAGUGAGCUGUGAUCAUGCCACAGCACUUCAGCCUGGGCAGUAGAGCAAGAUCCUAUCACCAAUAAAAGGAGGUGUUUGGAAUCAAACAGCUAUGGAGGGAAGACAAAGUAGAAAGAUGUAGAGGGGGGUGGACACACCAGAGAGGCCUGGGACAGACCCCUCAAGCCCUGCCAACACCUGCCACCUUGGACUAGAGGCUUGAUCUUGGACUUCAAGCCUCUAGAAUGGUAAGAGAAUAAAUUUCUGUUGUUUAAACCACCAGUUAGUGACACCUCACUAUAGCAGCUUAAAGAGACUCAGACACCAUCCCAAAUCUAAGAGCCUACAAGGGUCAAGUGGGAACCAUUGACCCUUGUAGCUCCUGGCAGUUCCAGCCAGCUAUCUCCAGGGUGCCAGAUCUGCUGUUGUUCCUGGGAAGCUGGCGUAUCAGUCAGAAUAGGCCAGGUUAUGCUGCAGUGACAAACAUCCCCUACAUCUCAAUGGCUUGAUGGAACACAGAAAAACGUAUUCUCCUCUUCACAUUGUCAACACAGCCUGGGCACUGCUCCCAGGCUGCUGACCUCCUUGUGGUGUCUGGCCAGCCUGAGCCAGUUAGAGUUCAUGAGUUGUCCACCUCCAUGUGAGGUCACCAUGGGGCAUGCACAGACUCCCAUGUCCCUGGUGCUCACACCCCACACGAUCACACUUAGCUGAGGGGUGCUGGAGAGGAGAGUCUUGCUGUGCCCGGGAAGCGGAGAAAAAACAGGUAUUGGUGAGUUUAGACAAUGUUGGCCACACUUGCAAAGCCACAUCUCCUGAGCUGCUAACUUUGGCACUUCUUUUAAAAUUGUGGUAAAAUACACAUCACAUUUACCCAUCUUAAUGGUCCCCCCGAUCCUUUUUUUUUUUUUUUUUUUUUUGAGACAGAGUCUCACUCUUGUCGCCCAGGCUGGAGUGCAGUGGCACUAUCUCGGCUCACUGCGAGCUCCGCCUCCCAGGUUCCCGCCAUUCUCCUGCCUCAGCCUCCCGAGUAGCUGGGACUACAGGCGCCCGCCACCAUGCCCGGCUAAUUUUUUUGUAUUUUUAGUAGAGACGGGGUUUCACCGUGUUAGCCAGGAUGGUCUCGAUCUCCUGACCUCAUGAUCCGCCUGCCUUGGCCUCCCAAAGUGCUGGGAUUACAGACAUGAGCCACCACGCUCGGCCCCCGCCCCCUUUUUUUUAGAUGGAGUCUUUGGUGGUGAAAUCUCGGCUCACUGCAACCUCUGCCUCCCAGGUUCAAGUGAUUCUCCUGCCUCAGCCUCCCAAGUAGCUGGGAUUACAGGCACCCGCCACCAUGCCCGGCUAAUUUUUUGUAUUUUCAGUAGAGAUGGGAUUUCGCUAUGUUGGCCAGGCUGGUCUCAAACUCCUGACCUCAGGUGAUCCACCCACCUCGGCCUCCCAAAGUGCUGGGGUUGCAGGUGUGCGCCACCGCGCCCGGCCACCACCUUAACCCUUUUUAAGUGCACAGGUCAGUGGUUCAAGCACAUUCGCCUUGUUGUGCAGCCAUCACCAGCAUCCAUCUCCAGAGCUGUUUUCUGUCUUCCCAAACUGAAACCCUGUCCCCUUUAAACACUCCCGAUUCCCCUCUCCCAGCCCCUGGCUAUUGUACUUUCUGUCUCUAUGAAUUUAAUUACCCUAGGAACCCCGUAUGAGUGGAAUCAUACAAUAUCUGUCCUUUAGUCUGGCUUAUUCACUCAGCAUAAUGUCCUCAGGGUUUGUCCAUAUCACAGCGGCUGGCAGAAUUUCCUUCCUCUUCGGGGCUGAAUAAUAUUCUGAUAUUCCCAACAUGCUUGUCACCUCUACAAGCCUGUGAGGCUGUGUGAGCUUCCCAGGGUCCCCAGAAUAAAAACUGGGUGGUUUACACAACUGAAACUUAAUUGCCUUACAGUUCUGGAGACUGGAGUUCGAGAUCAAGGAGUGGGAAGGGCUGGUUCCUCCUGAGGCCUCUCUCCUUAGCUUGUAGAUGCCGUCUUCUCCCUACGUCCUCACAUGGUCGUCCCUCUGUGCGUGUCUGUGUCCUAAUCUCCUCUUCUUAUAAGGACAUCAGGCAUAUUGGAUUAGGGCCCAACCUAAUAACUUCAUUUUAAUUUAAUCGUCUCUUUUAAAGACCGUAUUUCCAAAUACAGUCACACUCAGAGGAAUUAGGGGUUAGGACUUCAACAUAUGAAUUUGCGAGGGACAUAAUUCAGCCUAUAUCAGAGGCUCUUCAUUUUAUUGUUUUAUUUUACUUUUUGAGACAGGGUCUCACUUGUCACCCAGGCUGGGGUGCAGUGGUACAAUCACAGCUCACUGCAGCCCCAAUCUCCUGGGCUCAAGCGAUCCUCCCUCCUCAGCCUCCUGGGUAGCUGGGACUACAGGCGUGUGCCACCACACCCAGCUAAUUUUUUAUUUUUUGGAGAGACAGGGUCUUACUAAGUUGCCCAGGCUGGUCUCAAACUCCUGGCCUCAAGCGAUCUUCCUGCCUUGGCCUUCAAAAGUGCUGUGAUGACAGGCGUGUCCCUCACUUUAUUCUAUCACUCUCUCCCCCAUGCCUGGCCCAUCAGACCUCAGUGAAUGUCCAUUCAAUGAAUGAAUGAAGUGAUGUCAUCUCGGUAGGGUUUUCAAGGAUGAAUAGGAGUUUGCUAGGCAGAGAAGGCACAGAGGGCAUUCCAGGCUUAAAGAACAGCCUAGGCCAAGGCCUGGAAGCCUCCCAGCGGGGCUCUCUGUCUCACAGGUCACAUGCCAGACCUGGGGCAGGGAAGAGAGCUGUGGCCCCUCUCAGUCCGCAGAGGCCAGCCAACCUGCUCCCCAUGAGCUGGAGCCCAGCCAACCUCCACAAGGACCAGGACCCCAGUGCCUCUGCUCACAGGAGCUGGCUCAGAUGAUUUUCGCUAUGUCUUUUACCCUUCACGCCUGGGUGGCUUGAGCGUAUUUAUUUAACUUUCAUUGUAUUGGUGUUUUUGUUGAAAGUGCAGGAAUUAUUCAUAGCCGGUUUCGGUUCUCUUCUGGCAAUGACCGCAUCUUCCUAUGCAAGGUACAAAUUACCUGUCAGGCCAGUUCACCAUCAGUCAGGGGCUGUGACCCAGCCCCAAGCCACCGAGGCUCAGCUGCUCUGGAAGAUGGGUCUGGCUGGAGGUGGUGGGGCCUGAAUAGGUCUUUGUCCCCCAAGUUGCCAAGGAUAGGGAACAUGGAUGGGAAACAAGGGGAUUGGCCCAGGAACAAAUCCUCCCUCUGCGAUCCUGCUCAGUCUACCUGGCCACUCAGUACUCAGUCUUCUCAUCUGUAAAAUGGGCAUUGGAGUGAGUGUCUGGCAUGGCGGGCCAUCCACAUUGUCACCCACUGGUGUCACCCACUGCCUGGGUGAGCCUGGGCACAUGGGUGCCCUCUGUCACCUCCAAGGAAAGGAGACAGAGAUACUCAUAGAGAAGAGAAACUGAAAACAGAAGGGACACAGAAGGGCUUAGAGGACACGUCCUCAGCUAAUCUGGCCCCCUGGGUUGUGGUGGCAUGAGAACACAGCCCUAAAAAGUUCCUCCUAUUGAAAGAUGGGGUCAUCUGGGCACAGUGGUUCAUGCCUGUAAUCCCAGCGCUUUGCCAGGCCAAGGCAGAGGGAUCCUUUCAGCCCAGGAAUUUGAGAUCAGCCUGGGCAACAUAGCAAGAUCCCAUCUAUACAAAAAAAAAAUUAGCCAGGUAUGGUGGUGCACUCCUGUAGUCCUAGCUACUCAGGAGGCUCUCUUGUGCCCAGAGUUCGAGGCUGCAGUGAGCCAUGAUCAUGCCACUGCACUCCAGCCUAGGUGACAGAGCAAGACAUUAUCUUUAAAAAAAAAGAAAAAGAAAAAGGUGUGGUCAGCUGGGCACAGUGGUUCACACCUGUAAACCCAGCAUUCUUUGAGGCCAAGGUAGGAGGAUAGCUUGAGGCUAGAAGUUUGAGACCAGCCAGGACAACAUAGCAAGACCUUGUCUCCACAAAAACAAACAAAAAGAAUCAGCUGGGUGUGGCAGCUCACACCUGUAGUCCAGCUACUCGGGAGGCUAAGGCAGGAGGACCACUUGAGCCCAAGCAUUGGAGGCUGCAGCAAGCUAUGAUUGCACCACUAUACUCUGGCCUGGGCAACAGAGUGAGACUCUCUAAAAAAUAAAAAAAAUAGCUAGAACACAGGGUUUGGCAGAAAAGGAUAUCUAAGGCUAUGCUUCAUAAAACUCCAACAGGUGCAGGCCAGGCGUGGUGGCUCACGCCUGUAAUCCCAGCACUUUGGGAGGCUGAGGCAGGUGGAUCACCUGAGGUCAGGAAUUCGAGACCAGCUUGACCAACAUGGUGAAACCCUGUCUCUACUAAAAAUACAAAAAUUAGCUAGGCCUGGUGGCAUGUGCCUGUAGUCCCAGCUACUCGGGAGGUUGAGACAGGAGAAUUGCUUGAACCCAGGAGUUGGAGGUUGCAGUGCAGUGAGCCAAGAUCAUGCCACUGCACUGCAGCCUGGGCCACAGAGUGAGACUGUCAAAAAACAAAAAAAACUCCAACAGGUGCAGAACCCGGUUUCACACAUUUUCCAGACCUGCCCAUGUGGGGACCACAGCAAUGAGACACUGAUCAAUGUUUAACAAGUUCUCAGGUGGCUUCAGCCUGAGGUGGGGUGGGGGAUAAGGAGAGAACCUGAUGUGUAGCCUCUGCCAAUGUCUGUGGUGUAAAUUCUCCCAGCUUCAAGCUACCAACGUGAUGUCACUGAACUCAGACUUGGGAAGAGAUGUGUAGUCGCUCACUUAUGUAGCAUUUCCACCACAGAUAACUGUAGCAUCCGGCGGUGCUGGCUUUCACUGCAUGAGUAACCCCCAGGAGAAAACCACCCAGCUGAGCCCAUCCUGACUUUCUGACCUGCAAAAUUGUGAGCAAAAUAAGGGGAUGGUUCUAGACUGCUACAUUUUGUAGCAAUUUGAAGCACAGCACUAGUCACUAGUGGGGCCACUGAGUCCAGUGUGGGAUGAUGCUUAAAAGGGUGGAGGGGCCGAACCAGGCCAGAGCACCUUUCACCUACGCCUGACUGGGAGAAUCCAUGCCAGUCUGACGUGCUCCAGCCCUGCUAACAUCGUGAGAAAAAGCCAGUGACAAGGCUGACAGCCCUCUGGAAGGGUCUCUCAUGGGCCUCAGUGGCCACUGCUCCUGGGACAGAAAGCCCCCACAGGGCUUUAGCAGGAGCCAGGGGGAUUUGUGGGCAAGUUGCCCACCUCCGUGCCAUGCUGACUCCUGCCACACUAAAUACCCGCCCAGCCCCACACCGCCUCAGACACAGGGUGAAGAGGCCAGGACAGGGCUGGCCAGGGGCCCUGGUUUAAAAUAGCAGCACCAGUCCUUUGUUUUGUCUGCAAUGCAGCUCUGCCGGUCUAGCUCCUGCUUUGAUGUUGGUAUUUAAGCCUCUUCUGGGAACCUGAACCUUCCCCAAGCACAUCAGAAACCCACACUCGGGCACAUACAUACAUGCAUGCACACACUUGCAUGCUCACCUGCUCCCCUGAGAAGCCAGAGGAGGUAGCCUCAGGCUCCAGAGCUGUCCCCCACCUCUGCCCAGGUCCCCCUCCAGAUCUGUGUUAGUGUCCUGUGGCUGCCGUAACAAACCUGCACUCACUGGGGGCUUCAAACAACAGAAACUGGCUGGACACGGUGGCUUACAACUGCAGUCCCAGCUACUCAGGAGGCUGAGGCAGGAGGAUGUCUUGAGCCCGGGAGGUCAAGGCUGCAGUGAGCUGUGAUCACGCUACUGUACUCCAGCCUGGGUGACAGGAAGACCCUAUCUCAAAAAAAAGAAAAAAAAAUCAGAAAUUUACUGUCUCCUGGAAGUCAGAAUUCUGAGAUCAGGGUGUUGGCAGGGCCGUGGCCUUCCAAGUCUCUGGGUGGACUCUCUCCUUGUCUCUUCCCGGCUUCUCGUGGUGCCAGUCAUCCUUAGCAUUCCUCUGUUGUUUUUCUUCUUUUUUAAAAAUAAAGGCCAGGGCCAGUGGCUCACACCUGGAAUCCCAGCACUUUGGGAGGCCGAGGCGGGCGGAUCACUUGAGGACAGGAGUUCGAGACCAGCCUGGCCAACACGGCAAAACCCUGUCUCUACCAAAGUGAGCUAUAUUUGCACUACUAUACUCCAGCCUGGGUGACAGAGCAAGACCCUAUCCCAAAAAAUAAAAAUAACAGCUAUGAUUGCAGUGGUGCAAUCACAGCUCACUGCAGCCUCAACUUCCCAGGCUCAAGCCAUCCUCCCACCUCAGUCUCUCAAGUAUCUGGGACUGCAGGCACCCAUGACCACGCCCAGCUAAUUUUUUUUUUUAUUUUUUUUUUGUAGAGAUGGGGGUCUCACUAUGUUCGUCUCAAACUCCAGGCUUCAAGCAAUCCUCCCACCUCAGCCUCCCAAAGUGCUGGGGUUACAGGCGUGAGCCAUCAUGCCUGGCCUCUUGAGACCUUGUCUCUAGGAGAAAAAAAAAAAAAAAACCCCACACACACAAAAAACAACUCCAUCUGGCAGAGUAAGAGGGUGAGAGGCCAGGAAUGGGAUGUGGCCACCUCUGACCCCCAGAGCCCCAGCCCUUAGUGUCUUGGGGGGACAAGGCAUGUCUGGUACAAGGGGCAACAGCCAGCAGGGACUGGGGUGGGCACUGCUGGUUCCGCUCUCAUCCCUCUGAUAGUGCCCUGGGCCCUGUACCCACACCCCAGGUUGCAGAGAACCCCCCCUGCCCCGCCCCCGCCUGGCUGCCGGGAAGUCUAGCUGGGCCAGGCGGGUUCUGCCGGGAACUGCCCUCCCUGAGCUGAGGCCCCCCUGCCCCUCUCCCCGCCAUGGAUCCAGCAGGUGUUUGCCUGUCUGACCCCUGUGCUGGGAGCAUGGCUUCCCCUGCUUGGGAAGUCUUCACUGUCUCCAGCCCCUCAGCCCUUCCUGGGGCUCCUGGGGUCCACUUCCUCAGCUGUCUUCCUCCCCCCAGACUGAGACCCCUUUGGGGUAGGACCUGGGUGCUGGGUGAGCUGGGCUGGCGCAGAGCUGGGAACGGGCAGGCCUUCACUGACCCACUUAUGACCCCACGGUCAUCAGAGCCAUCGGGGCCCUAGGGCUCAAGGGCAGGGCUGGGGCCCUGGAAUUCCCACAGGUGCAGGGGAUGAUGGCUCGGGGGUGGGGAACAGAGGGGCCCAAGGAGUCAACAGCACCUGAAGGGCCAGAGUGAGGACGUGACAGGCGUCCAGCAGCGCGCCCCACCCAUGGCCCUGGACUUAGCCUCAAACCAGAAAGGAGUGUGGGCUGUGGGUGCAUGGUCCUGAGAAGGUGGCACCGUCAUGCUUGCUUCACGAGAAGCCCCGCUCACCCACCUGUGCGGGCACUGCCAUCCCCACCCUGCAUGGGUUCCACCCCUGACUGGCACACAGUGGGUGCUAUGCCCAGUAGGUGCACCCCAACAUGGUGGCAGAAGUGGCAUUGGGCUUAAAGGCUAAGAUCUGAUCGGGAGAGAACCCCAUUCACCUCUCAAAACCCUAGACACCACCCCAGUCACAGGAACAGAUAGGGAGGUGUCGGAGGGAGGCUGGGCUGCCCUCUACGACAAAAGAACGUCCUGGCAAUAAGAACUGCUCAGUAGUGGCACAUGGGGCAGCCCAACGUCCAGCAACAGAGGGAUGGAUCAGUUGUGGUUUAUUUUUUUUUUGAGAUGGAGUCUCUCUGUCACCCAAGCCGGAGUGUAGUGGCUCGAUCUCGGCUCACUGCAACCUCCACCUCCCGGGUUCAAGCAAUUCUCCUGCCUCAGCCUCCCAAGUAGCUGGGAUUACAGGUGUGUACCACCACACCCAGCUAAUUUUUGUAUUUUUAGUAGAGACGGGAUUUCACCAUGUUGGCCAAGCUGGUCUCAAACUCCUGACCUCAGGUGAUCCACCUGCCUUGGCCUCUCAAAGUGCUGGGAUUACAGGUGUGAGCCACCGCGCCCGGCCCAGUUGUGGUAUUUUCAUACUUGGGAAUAUGAUUCAGCCUUAAAAAGGAGCAAAGUCCUGAUCUGUGCUAUGCCAUGGGUGUACCUCGAAAACAUUCCAGCCAGACACAGAAGGUCACCUAUAAAAUGAUCCCAUUUAUAUGAAAUGUCCAGAAUGGGCAAAUAACAGAAGCUGACUGGGGGUUGCGAGGGGCCUGUGGGAGUGAGUGUUUAACAGAUACGGGGUUCCUUUGGGGGCAAUGGAAACGUCUUAGAACUAGAUAGAGGUGGUGCGUGCACAGCACUGUGAAUGUGCUACCUGCCACUGAUUUGUUCGCUUUGAAAUGGGGAAUUUUAUUUUUUGAGGUCUUGCUCUGUCACCCAGGCUGGAGUGCGGUAGUGGUGUGAUCUUGGCUCACUGCAACCUCAAACUCCUGGGCUCAAGAGAUCCUCCCACCUCAGCCUCCCGCGUAGCUGGGACUACAGGCGUGCACCACCAUGCCUGGCUAAUUUUGUGUAUUUUUUUAUAGAGACAGGGUUUUGCCAUGUUACCCAAGCUGGUCUCAAAACUCCUGGGCUCAAGCGAUUUUCCCUCCUUGGCCUCCCAAAGUGCUUGGAUUACAGGCCUGAGCCACCUCACCAGCCUGUGAAUUUUAUGUCAUGGGAAUUUUACAUCAAUUACGAAAAAAAAAAAGGCGCAGCCCUCAGCAGUGGUGAGCCCUCACUGUUGGGAACAGGAAACCAAGGCCUGGCCGCUGGAAAUGGGGCUAAGAGGGUCUCAGAGGCCUUCCUCGUACACACCUGCCCUAUCUUCCAGACCCUCCCAGAGUGGGUGGUGGUCCCCACAGCUCCAUAGCGGCCCCUCUUUCCCCCAGGGUUGCUACCAACACUGGCCGACCCUCCACCAGGUCUCCCUACCCCAGCCCAGCCUCUCCUUCCUCUGCCACCCCCCUCCCUGCCCCCACAGCCAAAGCUUGGGCAGCACUGGUCCCCGGCACAUCCCACGUCCCGGCCUCCUGGAACUCCCUUCCUGCCAUUGCCUCUUCCUGGAAAACCCUUCCCGUCGCCCACCCUGACUUCUCUUGUCAUCCCGAAAGGCCCAGCAUGAGGGACACCUCCCCAGAGAAGCCCUCCCUGGGUUGGGCAGGUAAGACCCUCUCCCGCGGGCUCUGGGCAGCUGUGCUCUGCUGUGUGAUCUGUCAGGCAGCAGCUGUCAUAGGCGACUGCCUGCAAGUGGCCUGGGGCCAACAUCUGCCUAAGGGUUUCCCAUCCCAGCUCAGCCCCCAGCUUGCAGUGUGACCCAGAGUGGACCCCCAGCUCCUCUGAACCCCAUUUCCUCCCCACAGACAGAGCGCCUCCCAGCCUGCCAGGGAAAUUUGGGAAGACAGGAAAACAUGUUCAGCACAGGGUCUGGCUUGGAAAACAGCAGCCACCAUGACUCGGCUGAUGCUAAAGGCUUGCUUCCUUUUUUUUCUUUCUUUUCUUCCUUUUUAUUAUUACUAUUUUUAGAGACAGGGUCUCCCUCUGUCACCCAGGCUGGAGUAUAGUGGUGCAAUCAUAGCUCACUGCAGCCUCAACCUCCCGGGCUCAAGCCAUCCUCCUGUCUCAUCCUCCUGAGUAGCUGGGACUACAGGCAUGCACCGCCACACCCAACUAAUUUUUGAUCUUUUUAUAGAGACAAGGUCUCGAUACUCCUGGCCUCAAACAAUCCUCCGGCCCAAGCCUCCCAAGCAGCUGGGACUACAGACACCUGCUAUCACACCGGGCUAAUUUUUUUAUUUUUAGUAGAGAUGGAUUUUCACCAUGUUGACCAAACUGGUCUCAAACUCCUGGGCUCAAGAUCUGCCAGCUUCAGCCUCCCAAAGUGCUGGAUUACAGGCCUGAGCCACUGCACCCGGCCUAUUUUACCAUCAUUUUUUAAAUGAAAAAUAAAAGGGAGGGGGAUCUUUGGGGAUCUGCGUGGGUACUUUGCUCCGCUGCCACAGUGAUGUCCCCACGGCCCCGCAGUCCAACUGCGUCCCAUGCAAAGUAUCACUGGCAACCAUAGCCUCGUACCUGAGCUGCCUCUGUUCCAGGGACACGUUCCGGAGCUGACACCCCUCCUCACCACCCGCCCUCGAGUCAUGCUGCGCCACUGCCUCUGCCCCCCAGGAUGCCCCGAGAGGGCACCUUCGACCUUCACUCCUGGGUGGGCCACAUGGGUGUGGAGGCCAGACUGGCUUCACCCCUGCAGCGAUCCGUCCACCUGGAGAGGGCACCUUGUGCGGUUUAAUUUGGUUGCCAUCAUCCUGGAACCAGGCUGUCCCUGGAGACCUAAUCCCUUCUGGGGAUUUAAAAGAAUCAAACUUGCCAAGGAAGACGUGAGCUUCUGGCCCCAGGCUCUGCCAGCUUCCCAUUUUAAUUGGGACCAUUUUUAGCCCUCACCGGGAGGCUUCCGAAAACCCCCCAGGCAUCUCCCUCGGGGCCCACAGGGGUGACGUGUGCCCACCCUAUACCAGGAGCUCCCUACCCUCAUCUCGGAGCCCCCAGCACCCACACCAGCUGCCCCUUCUAUGGGUGGGGCUUUCAGCUCUAGAAGUAAAAGGGAGUUGCCCAAGGCAGACCUGAGCUCAGAGCCUGUGUCCUUGAGGGGCCCUUGGUGGGCAGCAGGUCCCCCUCCUCCCACCCAGAGCCCCCCCCUUCCAUCCGGAAGUGUUGCCUACCACCGAGGCUACAAAACCCACAUGCCAGUCCCUACUCAAUGCCCCUAGGACCGACCGACCCGGCGUGCCCGGGAAUGCCCCAGUUUUCUCACUGAACACCUUCCAUCCAGGCACCCUCUCAUCCCUGGGACGGUGGGUCACCCAGCCACCCACAGAUAAGCACGGUAGGGGGUUGGAGGGUGUCCCCCGAAAAGACAUGUCCACUGGAACCUCAGAUAGGCUCUCACUGGGAAUAACGGACUCUGCAGAUGGAAUUAAGGUAAGGCUCUCGAGAUAAGCGUGCCUGAUUAGAGUGAGCCCUAAAUCCAAUGACUCCCGUCCUUAAGAGACACAGAGCGCACUCCCACGUAACGAGUGCCUGACGGCCGGGACAGAGACUGCAGAGAAGCAGCAACGGGCCCAGGAGCGCCAAGCGUGGCCCGCAGCCACCAGAGGCUGGAGAGAGGCCUGGGAAGGAUUCUCCGUGAGAGACUAGAGAAGGAGCCAACCCUGCCUGCACCUUGAUCUGGGACUUCUGGCCUCCAGAGCUGUAAGACAAUAGGUUUCUGCUGCUGAAGCCACCCAGCGUGUGGGCAUUUGUAACCGCGGCACUAGGGAAUGAACACAGUAGGUGGGCCAGGCACAGUGACUCACACCUGUAACCCCAGCACUUUGGGAGGCCGAGACAGGAGGAUCACUUGAAGCCAGGAGUUCAAGACCAGCCUAGGCAACACGGCGAGACCCCAUUUCUACAUAAUAUUGAAAAAUUAGCCAGGUGUGGUGGUGCACACCUGUAGUCCCAGCUACUCUGGAGGAUGAGGUGGGAGGAGCACUGGAGCUCAGGAGUUGGAGACCAGCUUGGGCAACAUAGCAAGACCCCUUCUUUACAAAAUAUUUAAAAACUAGCUGGGUGUGGUGGCAUGCACCUGCAAUCCCAGCUACUGAGGAGGCUCAGGCAGGAGGAUCUCUUGAGCCUUGGAGUUCAAGGCUGCAGUGAGCCUUGAUUGUGCCACUGUACUCCAGUCUGGGAGACACAGUGAGACCCUGUCUUUAAAAAAAAAAAAGGCCGGGCACGGUGGCUCACGCCUGUAAUCCCAGCACUUUGGGAGGCCGAGGCAGGCAGAUCACAAGGUCAGGAGAUCGAGACCAUCCUGGCUAACAUGGUGAAACCCCGUCUCUACUAAAAAUACAAAAAAAUUAGCUGGGCGUGGUGGCGGGCACCUAUAGUCCCGCUACUCAGGAGGCUGAGGCAGGAGAAUGGCGUGAACCCAGGAGGCGGACCUUGCAGUGGGCCGAGAUCGCGCCACUGCACUCCAGGCUGGGCGACAGAGCAAGACUCGGUCUCAAAAAAGAAAAAAAAAAUGCUGGGCACAUUGGCUCACGCCUGUAAUUCCAGCACUUUGGGAGGCUGAGGCGGGUGCAUCACUUGAGGUCAGGAGUUUGAGACAGCUUGGCCAACAUGGUGAAACCCUGUCUCUGCUAAAAAUACAAAAAUUUGGCUAGGCACGGUGGCUCAUGCUCGUAAUCCCAGCACUAUGGAAGGCCGAGGCAGGCAGAUCAUUUGAGGUCAGUAGCUCAAGACCAGCCUGGCCAACAUGGUGAAACCCCAUCUCUACUAAAAGUAAAAAAAUUAGCUGGGCAUGGUGGUGGACGCCUGUAAUCCCAGCUACUUGGGAGGCUGAGGCAGAAGAAUCGCUUGAACUCGGGAGGCAGCGGCUGCAGUGAGCCAAGAUCACACCAUUGCACUCCACCCUGGGUGACAGAGCGAGGUUCCAUCUCAAAAAACAAAAACAAAAAUUACCCAGGCGUGAUGGCAGACACCUUUAGUCCCAGCUACUCGGGAGGCUGAGGCAGGAGAAUCUCUUGAACCCGGGAGAUGGAGGCUUCAGUGAGCCGAGAUUGUGCCAUUGCACUCCAGCCUGGGCGACAGAGCAACAGAGGGAGACUCCUUCUCAAAACAAAAACAACAACAACAACAACAAAUAGUUGCAUGUCAAUUUUCCCAUUGCAGGGGGUUGGAUGAUGUUCCCCCAAAACUUCCUGUCCACCUGUGACCUCAGAAUGUGACCUUAUUUGGAAACAGGAUCUUUGCAGGUGUCAUUGGUUAAGUAUCUCAAGAGGAGAUCAUCCUGGGCUUAGGAUGGGCCCUAAAUCCAGUGACCGGUGUCCUUCCAAGAAAAGGAGGGGCGCCGGGCGGGCUGGUUCACACCUGUAAUCCCACCGCUUUGGGAGGCCAAGGCGGGCGGAUCAUGAGGUCAGGAGAUCGAGACCAUCCUGGCUAACAUGGUGAAACCCCGUCUCUACUAAAAACACAAAAAAUUAGCCAGGCGUGGUGGCGGGUGCCUGUAGUCCCAGCUACUCGGGAGGCUGAGGCAGGAGAAUCACUUGAACCUGGGAGGUGGAGGUUGCAGUGAGCUGAGAUCAUUCCAUUGCACUCCAGCCUAGGUGACAGAGAGAAACUCCAUCUCAAAAAAAAAACAAAGAAAAAAGAAAAGAAAAGGAGGGGACACAGGCACAGAGAAGGCCAUGUGACGACGGAGACAGAUGGGAGCGAUGCAGCUACAGGCCUGGGAACACCGAGGAUUUCUGGAGCCUCGGGAAGCUGCAGGGAGGGCUGGAACGGAGCCUCCCCGACGGCCUCCAGAAGCAGCCAGCCCUGCCCACACCUUGAGUUCGGACUGCUGGCCUCCAGCACUGUGCAAGAGCAAACUCCUGUCAUUAGAAGCAACCUAGGCUGUGGCCACCCGCCCAUCUCCCUAGGAGGUCUGGCUGCUCUUGGAUACCCGGAGCCUCCUACCUCAGCUUGCUGGGCACUGACCUUGAGCGUUGCUCCCUCGACCUGCAGUGCUCCCUGCAGCGCCCCACCCCAUGGGGGACACAGGAGGGGACUCUCAGAGCCGUCCCCCCGACAGGCCGAGGCUCCUCCCAGGAGAGGACCCCACUGCCCCGCCAGCACUGGACACUGGACACUGUUUUCCAUAAACAUUUCUUUGAACUGAAUUUCAUUCUUCUCACCCAAGAAAUCUCUGGAAAACAAUGCUGAGGCCAGGGUGGAGUGCCGGGGAGAGGGGAUGUUUUAAUGGUUUGUGGAGGGUUUUCUGUUUUGUUUUGUUUGUUUUUUUCUGGCAUUGUCUCUCUCUUCUGAUUUCCCUGUAACUGACAGGGAGGAAAUGGAUUCUGAAAAUGGGUUCCUUCCCACCCCUGGGGGCUCUGAGAUCAAAGUGUGGUGGGGCCGGGUGGACAGGACUUGGUGCUCCGAGGUGGGGUCCUUCCUGAUUCCCUCCCACCUUCUCCACCAUGCCCCCCUUUACCCAACGGGGCCUGGCCAGGAAGGGGCAUACCAGGGGGCUAUUCUGGGGGACAGGUCUCCAGGGCACCUGCCCUGCGUGCCCACCCAGUGAGGGGUUCCUGGCCCAGAGUUGCCCCCUCAGCAUAUCCCAGGGGGCUGGUGACCCUGUAGGCCCCUCCACUUUGCUAAAGAGGAUACAGGGAGGGUUGGUGGCCCAGAACUCACGAACCACUGCUGACCAGGAAUGGCCAAGGGAGGCCCACACAGAACACCCAAUCCCACAGCCACCUGCUCUAGUACCACUUGGGGCCUCUCCAGCCACUGGCCUGGCUGCAUUUGCUCUCCAAAACUGCCACUUUCUUUUAGUUUUUAAGGGACAGGCUCUUGCUCUGUCACUGAGGCUGGAGUCCAGUGGCACAAUCAUAGCUCACUGCAGCCUCAAACUCCCGGGCUCAAGCGAUUCUCCCACCUCAGCCUCCUGAGUAGCUGGGACCACAGGCACACGCUACCACAUUGGGUGUUUGGAUGGAUGAGUAGAUGGGUGGAUGGGUGGGUGGGUGGGUAGGUGGAUCGGUGGGUGAAUGAGUAGAUGGGUGAGUGGAUGGAUGGAUGGAUGGAUGAGUGUGUGGAUGGAUGGAUGGAUGGAUGGAUGGAGAAGUGGAUAGAUGAGUGAAUGGAUAGGUGGAUGGGUGGGUAGAUGGAUGGACAGGUGGGUGGGUGGGUGGGUAGGUGAACGGAAGAGUGGGUGGAUGGGUGAAUGGAUGGAUGGAUAGAUAGAUAGAUAGAUAGAUAGAUAGAUAAACAGACAGACAGAUAGGCUAAUGGAUGGAUGAAUUCGUGCUUUCUGUCCCUUGACCUGGUCUACAAGCCACUUCCCCAGCUAGACAAAGAGAGCUUAGAACCCCAUCCCUGCCAGGAAACAGACAAAAGCUGUCGGGGUCUUUUUUCUCUCUCUCAGCCUUACCUGGGACACACAGAGCUUUACGGUGGGGCCUUGUUCCAGUUGCUGCAGGCUGCCAUUCCUGAAGGUCGGGGGACAAGCUGCCUCUUCAACCCCAGCUCUGCUGGGGGCUCCUCAGCGGCUGGGGGAGUUGUGGGUGGGGCAGGAGACCUGGCGAGAAGCUCACGGGUACCCUCACCCACCUCAUCCCGCCCUGUGCCCAGCCCUGACCCCAGCCCUCCCUCUUUGUACCUCACCCCGUGGAAGGAAACACACUGAAGGUGGGGAGGGGUGGGCCAGAGCCUCAGACUCCUAAGACAAAGGGAGAAAAAUGGACCGAAGAGAGGCAGGGGGUAGACGCAGGCACUGCCUUUUUUCUUUUGUAGACAGGGUCUCACUCUUGUUCAGGCUGGAGUGCAGGGCGCCAUCAUAGCUCACCACAGCCUCCAACUACUGGGCUCAAGUGAUCCUGCCUCAGCCUCCAAAGUAGCUGGGACGACAGGCAUGCAUCACCAUGCUUGGCCAAUUUUUGUAUUUUUUGUACAGAUGGGGUCUCACUCUGUUGCCCAGGCUGAUCUUGAACUCCUGGCCUCCAGUGAUCCUCCUCAGCCUCCCAAAUCUUGGGGAUUACAGGCAUGAGCCACCACCCCCAGCCUUAUUUCCUGACAUUUCUAUGGUAAAAUUGAUUGCUUUUAUAAUCAGAAAAAAUAUACAGUGAGACUUAAAGACACGGUCUGUAACCUUGAGAGGCCAAAACAGCCCGCAGAGGGACAGGCGACUGGCCAUUUUGAUGCUAGGGCCCCAGGCACGAAGCAGGCAAGUCCCCCCUCCCCACUUUGGCCGGCGAGACUUUGAAAAGAAAGCUGGACGUGCAGGAGCAGGGGUUGGGAAGGGGAAUUCCAGGAAGGGGCCUGGGACUGGGGCCCUGGAACCAUGGUGGCCCCCCAGGCCAGAUCCACCCCUGGACAGGUGCAAGGACUCUGGGAGCGGCCCCAAGGAUCCAAAUACCUUCCUCAGCAGCCCCUUUAAUUUGCUUUCUGCAGAAAGUAAGCUAAUGCCGGCAGCGGAGACUUCAUUUAGGAGAAGAGCAGGCCUCGGCAUAUCCCUAGCAUUGGCAGCAUUCCUGGGAGGAGAGGAGGGGAAGGCUGGGGAGGGGAGGGAGACUGGGCUAGAGGGAGCCCGCAGAUUCACCUAAUUCCAGGGUGGAAUUGCUCGCCAGCCACCGUGCCCUCCAUCAUUCUCCAGAGGCCCCACCUAGUUUCCUCAUUCAUCAGUCACCAGGCCUUGUCCUAUGGCCCAGCCGGGGGGAGAUGUCAAGGCCAGGGACCCCUCUGAGGCUCAGAGAGGGGUGCGUAGCAGGAGCAGUAAAGCCAGGACUGGGCACGGUGGCUCACACCUGUGAUCCCAGCACUUAGAGAGACAGAGGCAGGAGGAUCGCUUGAAGCCAGGAGUUCAAGACCAACAUGGUGAGACCUCUGU
rnacentral:lncRNA from 1 species